rnacentral:rRNA from 1 species
CCUACGGGAGGCAGCAGUGGGGAAUAUUGCACAAUGGGCGGAAGCCUGAUGCAGCGACGCCGCGUGAGGGAUGAAGGCCUUCGGGUUGUAAACCUCUUUCAGCAGGGACGAAGCGUGAGUGACGGUACCUGCAGAAGAAGCACUGGCUAACUACGUGCCAGCAGCCGCGGUAAUACGUAGGGUGCGAGCGUUGUCCGGAAUUACUGGGCGUAAAGAGUUCGUAGGCGGUUUGUCGCGUCGUUUGUGAAAACCCGGGGCUCAACUUCGGGCUUGCAGGCGAUACGGGCAGACUUGAGUGUUUCAGGGGAGACUGGAAUUCCUGGUGUAGCGGUGAAAUGCGCAGAUAUCAGGAGGAACACCGGUGGCGAAGGCGGGUCUCUGGGAAACAACUGACGCUGAGGAACGAAAGCGUGGGUAGCAAACAGGAUUAGAUACCCUGGUAGUCCGACGCCGUAAACGGUGGGCGCUAGGUGUGGGUUCCUUCCACGGGAUCUGUGCCGUAGCUAACGCAUUAAGCGCCCGCUGGGGAUACGGCGCAAGGCUAAACNCAAUGAUGCGNNGNGNNGCGAGNGACACGAGGAG